UACGUAGGGUGCGAGCGUUAAUCGGAGUUACUGGGCGUAAAGCGUGCGCAGGCGGUUCGUUAAGUCAGAUGUGAAAGCCCCGGGCUCAACCUGGGAACUGCAUUUGAAACUGGCGGGCUUGAGUAUGGCAGAGGGGGGUGGAAUUCCGCGUGUAGCAGUGAAAUGCGUAGAGAUGCGGAGGAACACCGAUGGCGAAGGCAGCCCCCUGGGCCAAUACUGACGCUCAGGCACGAAAGCGUGGGGAGCAAACAGG
rnacentral:rRNA from 1 species